GCUAAGCCAUGCCUGCCGGGCACCUUUUUAUAUUUUAAUGAUGUCUUUUGCAGAACAGGAGUUUGUAAUUUUGAUAAAAUUCACUUUAUCAAUUUGUUUUCUUUUAUGGUUAGUGUUUUUGUAUCCUAAGAAAUCUUUCUCUAGCCCAAGUUCACAAUAUUUUCUUCCAUGUUUUCUUCUAGAAGCUUUAUAAUUUCAGCUUUAUGUUUAGGUCUAUGGGUCAUUUAAGAAUAGUUUUGAGUAUAGCAUGAGGUAGGAGUUGAGGUUGGUUUGUUUCCACAUGGAUAUCUAGUUGAUUAAGCACUAUUUGUUGAAAAGACUAUAUUUCCCCCCCAAUAUGCCCCUAGGCACCUUUGUCAAAAAUCAAUUUACCUUAUACGUGCUCGCGUGUUUCUGGGCUCCCUGACUUUUUUUCACAGCUCUGCUUACUUACUCUUAUGCUAGUACCACAGUCUUGAUUAUUGCAGCUUUAUAGUAAGUCUUGAAAUCAGGUAGUGAAAGUCCUCCAAUUUUAUAAUAUUUUCCAAAAACACUUUGACUGUUUUAGGUUAUUUGCACUUCCAUAUACAAUUUAGAAACAGCCUGUCAAUCUCUACCUAAAAAACUGUUGGAAUUCUGAUUGAGGCUGCAUGGAAUCAGUAGAUCAAUUUGGGGACAAUUUUCAUUUUAACAAUAUGAAUUUUCCAAUCCAUAAACAUGGUAUAUGACUUCAUUUAUUUGGGUCUUCUUUAAUUUCUUUCAGCAGCAUUUUGUAAUGUUCACUGUAGACACUUUUCAUCUCUUUGCACAGGCACAGUGUACUGCACUUCUUUGUAAACCUGGCCUCACUUGUAACUACCUGUCCAACAUCUGUCUUCCCAACUGAACUAUAUUUCCAUAAGGAUAUAAAUUGCAUCAAUAAUAUAGUCAUCCAAGCUCCUUAUUUCCAUCUGUAGGAAUGAUGAUAUCCUUUAUGUAUUGUGUGUGGACCAAGUACAAUAUCUGUUCUCAAUACGUGUUAAUAAGUCACAAUCAUAAAAAUACUGUCCCAGCCCAGCAUAGUUUCAACAAACAUGUAUUGCACUCCCAGAAUCAGUGUGCCAAAUGAAAAGUCACUUCAGCUGUCUCAGCAUGGGAACUUAAGUAUUUACUCACUUGGGAAAGAAAUGGGCAUAAUUUAACCAGAAUAGCAGAGUGUCUGCUCCAGAGAGGUCUUGAGCUGAAGCAAUUGGAACCUUAAUCUCACAAAAAUAACAGGGUCUUGGCAGAGGUGAAUGGGGAAUCUUGCCCAACAUUUGACCACACCAAACUGGCUUUAGUGGAGCCCUCACAUUUACAGGUACCAAAACCUACAUGUUUCUUAAUUUGAAAGGGUAAAGGUAACUUAAUUGUAAACAACGCAGUUUUAUGGUAGACUAAAUAAUUUUAGAGUUAUUCUGUUUAAGUUUUUAUUUGUAAAUUGAAUAAUUCGUUUGAGCAGUUAUUCACAUCUUCUUAGGACUGGUUACUUUAUGAGCGGCCUUUUGUUAGGAAUGGUGUUUGGGCAGCUCAACGAUGACUGCAUGGUGAAUUGUGAACAAGAUGAGGAAAAGAAAUACUUUAAGAUGAUCGUAACACUAAAUUGCGGAGCUUAGGUUCUAUUUGAGUUAGAUGUUAGGGCUCUUAAAAAUGCUGUGACUUGUUUUGGGGCAUCAUGGCCACUAAGAGCGGCUCCAGCUGCAAUCCAAAUGGUGAUAUUUUCAUACGUGAAGUGUUAAAUGAUCAUUUAGUGAUCUUUCAAGCAAACCACAGAGGAAAUCCACAAAUUGCUACAGUUGACUUUGUGCUGACACUUACGUACACAAUCCAAUAGUGUCUCCAUUAUAGUCUUGCUUUCAAAAAGGAAAAAUAUCCCCUACAACUGGCUAUAGGAGCAAGGAAUAAACUUAGACAGAAGGUACUGUUUUAUUUAUCAAUACAUAUUUACCCUGCUAUAACUCUGUACUAAUAAUCAGUUAUCUAAACAAGUGAUAAGUGAGAACAAACUGACACAGUUUCCUCAUUUACAUAUUUAUAAGUAAAUGGCUGAGUAAAGUUUCUGAUUGCCUUAUGACAAUUAGGAUAGUUGACUAUUGUUUAUUGAAUUGACAUCCUGCUGAGUUAGUAUGGAGCUUAGGUUCUGUUUGAGUUACAUGUUUGGGGGACUAGUUUUUGAAACUUGGAGUCUAGUAUAUAAUAAUCGCCAGAGCUAAAAGCUUACCCCAUGCUUGACAGGCUAUUAGAAGAAUAGUUACGAAGGAGAAAAUGGUACCAGAGCAAGUGCCAAUGGUCUUUAGAGUAAUAGCAAAAGCCAAUGAUACGUUGAGGAGAUGUUACUUUGGGGACAGGAUGCUCUAAAUGAAGAACCAGAUUUAUGCAGCAUUGUAGUGAAGGUAUCUAGAAGCUUGGUUUUUAAUUCAUUCUCAGCAGACUCUCAAUUUCUUGGACUAAUUUCUAAAAGAAAGGAAAUUAGUUUGAUUUCUCUAUGCCCCCCUCACAAACCUCAUGUCCUCAGAACAUGGCUUCCACUGGGAGACUUAAAGUCAUACAGUUUCUGGAUUUCUUAUUACAACCUGCUGGCUACUAGGAAUUUGAGAAAUUCAAGGGAGCUGUCUCACCAGGAACUGAAGAAACGGAAUUUUAGGUGUGGUUAGUGAAUGGUUGAAAUCUGCUUUAGUAGACCUCCUUGGAGACGGAAAAAAUGUUCUCUAUAGUUCCAGUGGGUUCAAAGUCAAGCGGUACUUUCCAUUUCAUAAUGGACUUCCCCACUGCUUUAGAGUGACUUAGGAUGGAGAGUUCCUGGAAUUCCUAUGUCAAGUUUAUAACUGUAAGGUGGUAAAAGCUCUGCUUUUGCAUUCCUACAGAAACCACUGAAAUGCGUUACCCUCUAGGGGGCAAUAGAGUAUGAUAUAGGCUCAGAAUGGGCUAGAUCAGGUUCCUCAGGGAAGGAUUAAUCACAAAGAAUUGUUAAAAAUCUUAGGAAACAUUAAAUAGGCUCCAACUUUAUUACAGUCCACCAGAAGCCCCCUAAAUUUUUGUGAUUAGUAAAGCUAAACAGGCUGAAGUGGACCAAGAGAUGAACGUCACUGCCCCUGCAUUGCUGAUGAGUGAGCCUAAACCCCAGGUCGGGAGAAGACUCGAGGAAAGGGUGAGGCAAGGCUGACUCAGUGUCUUGAAGGCGGAUGUGUUCAAGUGAGGUUCUGAUCCUGAGGCGCCCCUGUCUUGCCAGGGGAGCGCCAAGGAGACGCUUAGGUGGACGCAAGGAUAGCACGCUUUCCAGAUUGCCUGGUGGGAAGCCUGUCUAACCCAAACAAAGAAGAAAAGCAAACUGGAGUGUGAUGAGUGGUGGUGAUGAGAAGACUUCCCAUUUUAACAACUGCAAUGUUGCCUUCUUGAGAAGAUUCUCAAAGAUAACAUAACAGUUCUAUCUUCCAUGUGUCUCUCAGUGCCUUGGCACCUGUUUCCUCAGAAUGGGCCCUUGUUUAUUUCUUAAUUUAUUCACUUAUUUUUAUUGAGAUAUAAUUGGCAUGUAACAUUGUG